AUAACAUCUCCACAUUCACAAAUAUACAUUUCUGACAUUCAAAAACCAAACAAAAACAAAUCAGCGACCAAUAUAGCCACCUUUCUUUGCAAGGACACUCAAAAGCCUGCCAUCCAUGGAUUCUGUCAGUGUUUUGAUCUGUUCACCAUUAACAUUGCGUGCAGCAGCAACCACAGCCUCCCAGACACUGUUCAGAGAGGUGUACUGUUUUCCCUCCUUGUAAAUCUCACAUUUGAUGAUGGACCACAGGUUCUCAAUGGGGUUCAGAUCAGGUGAACAAGGAGGCCAUGUCAUUAGUUUUUC
ensembl:lncRNA